GAAAUGCAUGUCUGCCAGUAAAAAAUCUGCCUUUAACAUUAAACAGCUGUGCCAGUACCAGCAGCUGACCGAGAGUGAGGGUCUGAACUUGACUGGGAUGGAAAAUUCCAGUCCCGCUCCCAGAUCGUGGCUAAUAUGCUUCUCAUCUCAUUUGCCUCGACCCCCACUGAUCCAUCAGAAGGAAUUGGACACUUCAACACAAAACUAACGCUACACCCCUCCUGUGUGCUGUAUAAAAAGAUAUGAUUGACGAGAAAGCUCUUCGGGACAAUGAUACAGUAGUGGUUGUGUUGAAGGCAUUUCCAGAGAGAGAGAGAGAGAGAGAUGCAGUUAUUAAAAGCUGUCCUGCAUAUUUAAAGUAACAGGGCACAGUCACAGGCCACCUCUUCACGUAAAGCUGUCAGCCUGAGAAAACACAAGUGCCUCGCUUCAGUGAAAAUGUCAGCCCAGUCACGCAGCAGAAAUGGAUUUACACAGAUCCCAACAAGAGCGCUUACUGAGUGCCUGGCCCGGGGCCGUGUCUGCGCUUAGUGGAGUUCACAACCUGGAGCCGCAGUCACACAGAGGGUGACACGUUUAAACAGACCUCAAGUCAGCCAGUGAGAAAGACAGAGUCUCAUGAGAAGAGCAGUCUGAAACACCCUUCUUUUAUUAACGGGACACAUUUAAUUAGAUGCAAUAUGCUGUUGUAUAAAAAUAAACUUGGUCAUAAAAUUGUUGUGAGCUGUAGCUAUUGCAAGAUUCGUUGCAGUACUGCAUGGGGACUCAAGGCGUUUACUCCAGUCCUGUCAUUUAUCUACUUGCUUCUUUUAAGGUGAAAGCUCAUGAUCAUGUUACAAACUGAUACGACUGCUCAAGAAACCUUUUAAAGAAAUAGAAUACUUUGUUUUUUACGUCCAGUUUUGUUAAAUUUAAACUGCUGUAUUUUACUGUUCAUGUGACUUUGCCGUCAGAAUCAGGCUCUCUGUGUAAUGGAGCAUGUAAAGAAUAAACUUUGGGCCUGGUA